CCUUUGGAGACAAGGCCACACAUGCGCAGAAAAUACAGUCUCCAAGUGGACUACAAACCCCAAAAUGCCCAGAGCCCUUUAAAAAUGGGCGUUCCAACCCGCCCUCUCUCUCUUCUCUCGCGCUCCCCCCUCCUCUUCUCCUUUCGUCUCUUCACUCCCGUUCCUUGUAUGUUACCCUCCCCCAUUAAAGUUUACCCACGUGGGACCCCGCGUGUCUCGUCUCUCCUUCCCCAACCCCGCGCGUCUCGUGUCUCCCCCUCCCGAACAACAACACCCCGCGCAUUUAAAAAAUAAUAACAUUUUGGUGCCGUCUGCUCGGGGACCUUCGCGCCCCGGGGCCCUCACCUGAGGCCUCGGCUCUGGGUUUUGGCGCCUCCUGGAGCUCGGGGCCUCCCCCGGGACAAGGUCAGAACCGGACGACCUGCGACCACUCCACGUGUUCCAGCCAUCUCGACACGGCCCUCCCUCUCCAACCGUCAGCGGCUAAUUCCAUCCUAACGGUGACCCAGCUACUCAAGAGCCAGACAGAUACAAUCUCCAGACAGAUGCGAUUUCUUCAAUCAGCCACUUGAUGCCAGCGGACAAAACAUCGAUAUGACAUCAGGACAACCGGACGCUCCCCGGACCCCUCGACGCCCAAAGUCAGCAGGAAGCAGUCAUGAGAGACCGGGCUACGCCCCUAUUCCCUACCCGUUAAGACCCUAAACCCCCCCCCUCAAUUUUUUUUUAAUAAAACCAAAAGGGUGGAAUGCUGUUCCUUUGGAGACAAGGCCACACAUGCGCAGAAAAUACAGUCUCCAAGUGGACUACAAACCCCAAAAUGCCCAGAGCCCUUUAAAAAUGGGCGUUCCAACCCGCCCUCUCUCUCUUCUCUCGCGCUCCCCCCUCCUCUUCCCCUUUCGUCUCUUCACUCCCGCUCCUUGUAUGUUACCCUCCCCCAUUAAAGUUUACCCACGAGGGA